rnacentral:rRNA from 1 species
ACCGGCCGUGCGUACUUAGCAUAUGCUUGUCUCAAAGAUUAAGCCAUGCAUGUCUAAGUACGCACGGCCGGUCAGUUGAAACUGCGAAUGGCUCAUUAAAUCAGUUAUGGUUCCCUUUUGGUCGCUCGCUUCCUCUCCUCUACUUGGAUACUGUGGGUAAUUUCUAGAGCUAAUAACAUGCCGACGGGGCGCUGACCCCCUUCCGGGGGGAUGCGUGCAUUUUAUCAGAUCAAAACCAACCCGGUCAGCCCCUCCCCGGCCCGGCCGGGCGCGGGCGCCGGCGGCUUUGGUGACUCUAGAUAACUCGGGCCGGAUCCGCACGCCCCCCGUGGCGGCGACGACCCAUUCGAACGUCUGCCCUUAUCAACUUUCGAUGUAGGUCGCCGUGCCUACCAUGUUGAACCACGGGGUGACGGGGGAAUCAGGGUUCCGAUUCCGGGAGAGGGAGCCUGAGAAACGGCUACACAUUCCAAGGAAGGCAGCGCAGGCGCAAAUUACCCCCUCCCCGACCCGGGGAGGUAGUGACGAAAAAUAACAAUACAGGACUCUUUCGCGGCCCUGUAAUUGGAAUGAGUCCACUUUAAAUCCUUUAACGAGGGAUCCAUUGGAGGGCAAGUCUGGUGCCAGGCAGCCGCGGUAAUUCCAGCUCCCAAUAGCGUAUAUUAAAGUUGCCUGCAGUUAAAAAAAGCUCGUAGUUGGAUCUUGGGAGCGGGCGGGCGGUCCGGCGGCGAGGCGAGCCCCGGCCCGUUCCCCGCCCCUUGCCUCUCGGCGCCCCCUCGAUGCGCUCUUAGCUGAGUGUCCCGCGGGGCCCGAAGUGUUUACUUUGAAAAACAUAGAGUGUUCCAAAGCGGGCCCGAGCCGCCUUGGAUACCCCACAGCUUGGGUAAGUGGAAUAGGACUCGGUUCCAAUUUUGUUGUGUUUUCGGAACUGAGGCCAUGAUUAAAAGAGGGACCGCCGGGGGCAUUCGUGUUUUUCGCGCCGCUAUAGAGGUUAAAAUUCUUGGACGGCGCAGACGGACCAGAGCGGAAAGCUUUGCCAAGGAAUUUUUCAAUUUAAUCAAGAACGGAAAGUCUGGAGGUUCGAAGGCCGAUCAGAUACCGUCGUAGGUUUCCGACCCUUAAACGAUGGCUACUGGCGAUUCCGGCGGCGUUAUUCCCAUGAACCGGCCCGGGCAGCUUCCCGGGAAACCCAAAGUCCUUUGGGUUUCCGGGGGGAGUAUGGGUUGCAAAGCUGAAACUUAAAGGGAAUUGACGGAAGGGCACCACCAGGAGUGGAGCCUGCGGCUUAAUUUGACUACACGGGAAACCUCACCCGGCCCGGACACGGACAGGAUUGACAGAUUGAUAGCGCUCCUUUCUCGAUUCCCUUGGGUGGUGUGAUGGCCGUUCUUAGUCGUGGAGCGUUUGUCUUGUUUAGUUCCAAUAACGAACGAGACACUCUUGGCAUGCUAACUAGUUACGCGAACCCCCGAGCGGUCCGCCGUUCUCCCCCAACUUCUUACGGGACAGGUGGCGUUCAGGCCACCGAGAUUUAAGCAAUAACAAGGUCUGUGAUGCCCUUAGAUAUCUCUGGGCUGCACGCGCGCUACACUUACUGGCUCAGAGUGUGUGCCUACCCUACGCUGCAGGCGCGGGGUAACCCGUUGAACCCCAUUCCUUGAUGGGGAUCGGGGAUUGCAAUUAUUCCCCAUGAACGAGGAAUUUCCAAGUAAGUUCCGGGUCAUAAGCUUGCGUUGAUAAGUCCCUGCCCUUUGUAUACACACCGCCCGUCGCUACUACCGAUUGGAUGGGUUUAGUGAGGCCCUCGGAUCGCCCGCCCGCCGGGGUCGGCCCACGGCCCUGGCGGGACCGCCCCCGCCGGGGUCGGCCCACGGCCCUGGCGGAGCGCUGAGAAGACGGUCAACUUGACUAUCUAGAGGAAGUAAAAGUCGUAACAAGGUUUCCGUAGGUGAACCUGCGGAAG